AGGCAUUCCCCUAGUAACGGCGAGUGAAGCGGGAAGAGCUCAAAUUUGAAAUCUGGUAGCCUUCGGUUGCCCGAGUUGUAAUCUAGAGAAGUGUUUUCCGUGCCGGCCCAUGUACAAGUCCCUUGGAACAGGGCGUCAUAGAGGGUGAGAAUCCCGUCCUUGACAUGGACCCCCGGUGCUUUGUGAUACACUUUCAACGAGUCGAGUUGUUUGGGAAUGCAGCUCAAAAUGGGUGGUGAAUUCCAUCUAAAGCUAAAUAUUGGCGAGAGACCGAUAGCGAACAAGUACCGUGAGGGAAAGAUGAAAAGCACUUUGGAAAGAGAGUUAAACAGUACGUGAAAUUGUUGAAAGGGAAACGAUUGAAGUCAGUCAUGCUCUUGGGACUUACCUCCCUUGAGUGGGGUCAACAUCAGUUUUGAUCGAUGGAUAAAGGCACUAGGAAGGUAGCACUCUCGGGUGAACUUAUAGCCUAGCGUCAUAUACAUUGAUUGGGACUGAGGAACGCAGCAUGCCUUUUGGCCGGGAUUCGUCCACGUACAUGCUUAGGAUGUUGACAUAAUGGCUUUAAACGACCCGUCUUGAAACACGGACCA
rnacentral:rRNA from 1 species